UUACGGCCAUAUCACUUUAAAACACCAGUUCCCGUACGAUCACCGAAGUUAAGCAACGUCGAUUCCGAUCCGUACCUUGAUGAGUGACCACUUAGAAAUACCAGGUGCUAUA